CGCCGCCCGCGGGGAGCCGGCCACUCCCGGCCUACGAAGGCUGGGCUCCGGGCGUGCAGAAACACCAGGUACCAGGCUGAGCCUAAAGGAAGAGCCGGGGGACCGCCCGGGCGCACCCCGCUUGCUCCCUCGUCCUCUCUCUUUGUCCAGCGCCCUCGCCUCCUCUCAAAGUUUUCCCGACACAAAGACUCACACCUGGUGACAGCCCGCAGCGCGCCGCGGCGGUGUUGGUGGCGGCGACGCGGUUUCAGCUCUGCUGAUGUUUCAGCAGAAGUAAUGUCCAAGACCGGCCAACUUCAGCAGCGAUGCUCAUAGCAAUCGUCGAGCUGGAUGCUUAGCAUGCAAAACACCAUGUCCUCCGGGUGGUCAUUUUCGUCCAUUUGUGCACCCAAGACUGGGUGCCUGAAGCUGUCUAAAUUGCUCGAGGGCAUGGCUAGCCCCCUCCCUCCUCAUGGGUACUCUUACCUGCACAGUGACUAGACACAGUACCCACUGCAGCAUGGCUCCGAAGGCGCCUAGUCCCUGUCUGUUUCCUCUCCCCAGCAUUUGCUCUUUUCCAGCCAGAUCAAUAAUCCCCUGGAGUCCUAUCAUGAUCAAAAGUCCAUCUAGAAAAAUAUGGCUCCCACAAGGGGUAAUGCCCUGUGCUGAACAAUCUGCGCUUCCCCAGCCUCAGACAGCCCAGCUCAGAUUGUACUUUGUACCAACCAAUAGCCCGGGGUAGGAAGAGUCCCGUUAAGUUUGACUGAAAUGAGAUAAUUAUCACUCCCCCCUCCGACUUGUACUGAUUGUAGCAAUUCUUGAUGCAAGGAAAUACAACUUUUCAGAAAUGAUUGUGGGCCUUCGGAAAGGCUCCUAGAAGUUUGAAUGUGGAGAGAAGAGUCCUGUUGGGGAAACCACAUGGGAUGUCCCUACCUGUCUGGGAAGCAUCUGCCCAUGAAUGGACAUGCAGAUUGGUAGUGUCACCAGGAACGCCAGAGGGAUCUGGGGACUGGCAGCAUCCAUGUGUCUCCAGGGCCAAGGCUGGGAGGGUUAAGAGGGCCUCUUUCCUUUCCAAGCCAGUGACCAUGCUACCUGUGUCCAGAAUCCUUCUGCCUCUGUGUGGGUAGACAGGAGCAGGAGGGAGGCUUCUAUGCUGUGGUGUGGAGGGGGAGAGAAGGUUUCUGGCUUUGUUGGCCUUGGGAGCCAGAAUACUCUUUCCCCUGCAGGAGGAGCUCCCGCUGCCCUGCUUACAGAGCUGCGAGGAAGCACACAGAGGAGAGGGAAAAGUUCUACAGUGGCCUCCUGUGAGUGUGGGAGUGAUCUACUCACCCACCCUAACCCAGCACUUCACUUCCUUCCCCUCCCUUUGCAGAGUCCGUGUGCUUUUACUCCCUCUGCCGUGAGCUCUCCGAGAAACACGCCUUUUCCCUCUGGUGAGACUUUCUGAUGUUGAACACAACGUCAAAUGCCACCCUUUCUGAUUUCUGUCCAUUAAAAGUAGAAGCCAGGCAUCACAAGAAGGUUUUGCAUCAGUGUGGCUGCUCAGGCUCAACACCAUUCCUGCUUUGCACCCAUCAAAGAGAAAUAAUGCUGAGUAUUCAGGAAGCAGUGGAAACUCAUGCUGAACAGUUCCGUUCUCUACAGAGAACUCCUUGGACCCAAGCUCUCAAGUAGGAUCUUACAGGCACGUCUGCUGGGAAACGGAGCUAGCGUAACAAGGGAUAAAGACUUUUAUUCCAUUCUGGAUCAACAUUGUCUAGUGUGAUGGAGAAUCAAUACCAGUUUCCACCUGGCCACCCUCAAAUCAUCAUCAUCGUGCUGCUGAAGCCAGAGUUGGGAAGAGAUGCAAAUGACACAUGAUGAUAUGCAUCUCCACCAGGUAUGCUCAGGAAAGACAAAAAAUAUUAAGAGCACAGAAAACAAUGAAGCUCUAAGUACUUACUGACUUUGUGUUUGGUAUAAUUUACUGGAUUGUAAAUUUAUAUAUUUUAUGUGUUCUGCUAUUUUAAUUGUAAAAUUAUAUUUUAGGGAUUGAGGAAGAAGCUCAGUCAGUAAAGUGCUUGCCUUGCAGAAUGGAGACCUGAGCUUGAUUUUCCAUAUCCCUCAUAAAAAUACCAGAUGUGAGGUUGGAGAGAUGGGUUAGCAACUAAGAUGCUUGGCUGUAAAACCUAAGGAUCCAGGUUCGAUUCCCCAACACCCAUGUAAAGCUAGAUACACAAAGUAACGCAUGCAUCUGGAGUUUGUUUGCAGAGGCCCUGGCAUGCCCAUUCACUCUCUCUUUCCUUAUAAGUAAAAUAAAUAAAUAAAAGCCAGACAUGCUGGCAUGUGUUUGGCAUCUCAGCACAGGGUAGGAAGAGAAAGAUGGAUCCCUGGGUUCAUUGGUCAGCCAGUAUAGCCUAAUUGGCAAGCUCCAAGCCAAUGAGAGACCUUGUCUCAAAAGAGGUGAGGAAGCCAUUCACCAGAAUGCUGGCUUGCUGCAUGCUAGCACAUUACUCUGGGUACCCAUGAAAGCUCUCCGACUUCAAGUCGGAGUAUCUUCUAAAAUGUCCCUUUGGGAAUUCUCUUCCAUAGCUCUCCUGCUUCAAAUGCCUGUACAUGAGUGAUUCCCAGUUCCCGCCCCAGGCUUGACAAAGCUAACUGGGAGAACUACAGAAGGAUCAAGAAACUAGUCAGUUUGGCUCCAUGAGUGUAUUAGUUUGGGUUAAUUUGAAUGCGAGGGACAGUAAACCCAUAAUGACAAUGACUUGUUGAAAACAAGCUCAAUUCUCUUUCUUGUGCAAACCCCCAAGCUAGCAGCCAGUGCUGGUUUAGCUGUGCUGCUCCCUAAAGUGCUUAGAAAUUCAGGUCCUUUCAUCUUCAUGCCAUCCCUAAGAUGAAACCAGCUUUUAUACAUGGCCCAUCACAUCUGAAUUCCAAGAACUAGACUGGAGGAAUAGAUAAUGAAUAAAGAAAGUUUCUUUUUGUCCAGAAUGGUGUCAAGUUACAUACACAGCUGCAAGGAAAGCAAGAAACACACCUUAAUUCUGGGCUUCUAUACCUUCAGCUGAGAUUCUGUUAUAGAAGAAGGAAUGAACAGGUGGGGGCAGCUAGUGAGGUUAGCCACAAGGGGAGUGGAAAGACCAGCUCUACUCAGUAAAUCCUCAUUAACCCUGCCUUGUGAUUGGGUGGAAAAGACCAGCUCUAUUCAGUACAUCCUCAUUAACCUGGCCUUGUGAUUGGGUGGGCCAACACUCACCAGCCAUACAUAUCCUAGUGUGUGACCACAGGCUGUUUGUGGGGCUGAGCUUCCCAUUGCGUUUUCCUGUUCCUUGGCAUCCUUACUUUAUUAUGUUCACCCUGGGGAGGCAAUACCCUAUAGUGGUGUAAAGCAAUGCUUCUCAAGCUCUUCUUUGUUCUUAAACUUGCAAUUAUUUGCUGACCUGUACAUCUCCUACUACAUGACUGGUGUCCUGUUCACCCAUAUGCCACUCACUGUGGCAAUUGGACACCCCCAAAUCCUCUUCACCAGCAGUAGUCAUUGAUCAUGGGAACAGUUUUAUGAAACUGUGACAGGUUCUUCCAGAUAUUGUCCUCAAUUUCCUUAUCUCACCACAGAUGGGUAAGAUAUGGCUCACAGACAGGUGCUGGGCCACAGACCAUUGUCUGGCUUUAGACUUGAUUUAACUAUUGUGCACUAGAAAGCACUUAAACUUGGUUUUAACCUCUUGAUGUUUGUUCUUGAAUAUUAUAAGUUUCAGUCUCUGAAUGUCAAGUGGAGAUGAUAAUAAUACUUAAUUCACAGAUUUUUUUUUUAAUUUUUUUUGUUCAUUUU